rnacentral:rRNA from 1 species
GAUGAACGCUGGCGGCGUGUCUAAUACAUGCAAGUCGAGCGAACAGACGAGGAGCUUGCUCCUCUGACGUUAGCGGCGGACGGGUGAGUAACACGUGGAUAACCUACCUAUAAGACUGGGAUAACUUCGGGAAACCGGAGCUAAUACCGGAUAAUGUAUUGAACCGCAUGGUUCAAUAGUGAAAGACGGUUUUGCUGUCACUUAUAGAUGGAUCCGCGCCGCAUUAGCUAGUUGGUAAGGUAACGGCUUACCAAGGCAACGAUGCGUAGCCGACCUGAGAGGGUGAUCGGCCACACUGGAACUGAGACACGGUCCAGACUCCUACGGGAGGCAGCAGUAGGGAAUCUUCCGCAAUGGGCGAAAGCCUGACGGAGCAACGCCGCGUGAGUGAUGAAGGUCUUCGGAUCGUAAAACUCUGUUAUUAGGGAAGAACAAAUGUGUAAGUAACUAUGCACGUCUUGACGGUACCUAAUCAGAAAGCCACGGCUAACUACGUG